rnacentral:rRNA from 1 species
AUUGAACGCUGGCGGCAGGCCUAACACAUGCAAGUCGAGCGGAUGAAGGGAGCUUGCUCCUGGAUUCAGCGGCGGACGGGUGAGUAAUGCCUAGGAAUCUGCCUGGUAGUGGGGGAUAACGUCCGGAAACGGGCGCUAAUACCGCAUACGUCCUGAGGGAGAAAGUGGGGGAUCUUCGGACCUCACGCUAUCAGAUGAACCUAGGUCGGAUUAGCUAGUUGGUGGGGUAAAGGCCUACCAAGGCGACGAUCCGUAACUGGUCUGAGAGGAUGAUCAGUCACACUGGAACUGAGACACGGUCCAGACUCCUACGGGAGGCAGCAGUGGGGAAUAUUGGACAAUGGGCGAAAGCCUGAUCCAGCCAUGCCGCGUGUGUGAAGAAGGUCUUCGGAUUGUAAAGCACUUUAAGUUGGGAGGAAGGGCAGUAAGUUAAUACCUUGCUGUUUUGACGGUACCAACAGAAUAAGCACCGGCUAACUUCGUG